GACGAACGCUGGCGGCGUGCUUAACACAUGCAAGUCGAACGGACAGGCCCUGCUUUUGUUGGGUGCUCGAGUGGCGCACGGGUGAGUAACACGUGAGUAACCUGCCCUUGGCUGUGUGAUAACUUCAGGAAACUGGGGCUCAUACCGGGUAGGAGCUCCUGCUCCAUGUGGGGGAUUGGAAAGUUUCGGCGGUUGUGGAUGGACUAGCGGCUUAUCCGCUUGUUGGUGGGGUAGUGGUUUACAAAGGCUUUGAAGGGUAGCCGGCCUGGGAGGGUGACCAGGGACAAUGGGACUGAGAGAGGGCGCAGACGGGUACGUGAGGCAGUAGGCGGGAACAUGGCAGAAUGAGCGGACGUGUGAGGUAGAGACGUUGGGAUCGGGAAGCUCUGUUAUUGGUGGAAAACAGAUGUGUAAUGAGACGUAGCGUUAGUGACGGUAACGGGUAAAGAAGCACCGGCUAACUACGUG
rnacentral:rRNA from 1 species